CGAAAACCUUACCUACCCUUGACAUGUCUGGAAUCCCGAAGAGAUUUGGGAGUGCUCGAAAGAGAACCGGAACACAGGUGCUGCAUGGCCGUCGUCAGCUCGUGUCGUGAGAUGUUGGGUUAAGUCCCGCAACGAGCGCAACCCUUGUCAUUAGUUGCUACGAAAGGGCACUCUAGUGAGACUGCCGGUGACAAACCGGAGGAAGGUGGGGAUGACGUCAGGUCCUCAUGGCCCUUAUGGGUAGGGCUUCACACGUCAUACAAUGGUCGGGACAGAGGGCAGCCAACCCGCGAGGGGGAGCCAAUCCCAGAAACCCGAUCGUAGUCCGGAUUGCAGUCUGCAACUCGACUGCAUGAAGUCGGAAUCGCUAGUAAUCGCGGAUCAGCAUGUCGCGGUGAAUACGUUCCCGGGUCUUGUACACACCGCCCGUCACACCAUGGGAGUGGGUUCUACCAGAAGUAGGUAGCCUAACCGUAAGGGGGGCGCUUACCACGGUAGGGUUCAUGACUGGGGUGAAGUCGUAACAAGGUAAGCGUAGACGU
rnacentral:rRNA from 1 species